rnacentral:misc_RNA from 1 species
AAAGUCGUAACAAGGUUUCCGUAGGUGAACCUGCGGAAGGAUCAUUAACGAGUUAACCUGGGGUGGUGGGGAUUCGAUGCUGGCCGCUCUGCGGCACGUGCUCGUCCCCCUGCCCCUCAUCCACUCACAACCCCCCCUGUGCAUUAUGAGAGGUGUGGUCUCCCCUUUCAACGGGAGCAGCUCCCUUCCGGCCUCACCGCCGGGGGGUCGAGCCGGGACCACGCUUCGAACCCCUUCACACAAACCUUUGAAACAGUAUCGUAGAAUGUAUUGACCGUCAACGGUCGAACCUAAAUACAACUUUCAACAACGGAUCUCUUGGCUCUC